GACGUAGGGGGCGAGCGUUGUCCGGAGUUACUGGGCGUAAAGGGCACGCAGGCGGUCUGCCACGUUUGCCAUGACAGUGUCGGGCUUCACUCGACAAGGAGGGCGAAAACGAGCGGACUUGAGACUCAGAGAGGGACCUGGAAUUCCGGGUGGAGUGGUGAAAUGCGUAGAUAUCCGGAGGAAGACCGAAGGCGAAGGCAGGGUCCUGGCUGAGGGCUGACGCUGAGGUGCGAAAGCCAGGGGAGCGAACAGG
rnacentral:rRNA from 1 species